rnacentral:rRNA from 1 species
UGAAGGGCCGUGGAAGACUACCACGUUGAUAGGCUGGGUGUGGAAGUGUAGCAAUACAUGGAGCUGACCAGUACUAAUUGCCCGUGAGGCUUAACCAU